UACGAAGGGGGCUAGCGUUGCUCGGAAUCACUGGGCGUAAAGCGCGCGUAGGCGGCUUUCUAAGUCAGGGGUGAAAUCCUGGAGCUCAACUCCAGAACUGCCUUUGAUACUGGGAAGCUCGAGUCCGGAAGAGGUGAGUGGAACUCCGAGUGUAGAGGUGAAAUUCGUAGAUAUUCGGAAGAACACCAGUGGCGAAGGCGGCUCACUGGUCCGGUACUGACGCUGAGGUGCGAAAGCGUGGGGAGCAAACAGG
rnacentral:rRNA from 1 species